GACGAACGCUGGCGGCGUGCUUAACACAUGCAAGUCGAACGCUGAAGCUCAGCUUUUGUUGGGUGGAUGAGUGGCGAACGGGUGAGUAACACGUGAGUAACCUGCCCCCUUCUUUGGGAUAACGCCCGGAAACGGGUGCUAAUACUGGAUAUUCACUGGUCUUCGCAUGGGGGUUGGUGGAAAGGGUUGUGCUGGUGGGGGCUGGGCUCGCGGCCUAUCAGCUUGGUGGUGGGGUGAUGGCCUACCAAGGCUUUGACGGGUAGCCGGCCGGAGGGGGUGACCGGUCACAUUGGGACUGAGAUACGGCCCAGACUACUACGGGAGGCAGCAGUGGGGACUAUUGCACAAUGGGCGCAAGCCUGAUGCAGCGCCGCAGCGUGAGGGAUGGAGGCCUUCGGGUUGUGAACCUCUUUCGAUAAUGGUCAAGCCGCAACAAUGGUUGUGGUGAGGGUAGUGGGUAAAGAAGCGCCGGCUAACUACGUG
rnacentral:rRNA from 1 species